rnacentral:rRNA from 1 species
UACGAAGGGUGCAAGCGUUACUCGGAAUUACUGGGCGUAAAGCGUGCGUAGGCGGUUUGUUAAGUCCGUUGUGAAAGCCCUGGGCUCAACCUGGGAAUUGCAGUGGAUACUGGCGAGCUAGAGUGCGGUAGAGGAUGGUGGAAUUCCCGGUGUAGCGGUGAAAUGCGUAGAGAUCGGGAGGAACACCCGUGGCGAAGGCGGCUAUCUGGACCAGCACUGACGCUGAGGCACGAAAGCGUGGGGAGCAAACAGG